CCAUUGGCGUGGGGGCGCCCUGACCGCCUGCCGCGUGAGUGAAGAAGGCCUUCGGGUUGUAAAGCUCUUUCGGCCGGGACGAAAUUGCCACUUUUAAUACAGGUGGUAGAUGACGAUACCGGCAUAAGAAGCACCGGCUAACUACGUGCCAGCAGUCGCGGUAAUACGUAGGGUGCGAGCGUUAAUCGGAAUUACUGGGCGUAAAGCGUGCGCAGGCGGUUUUACAAGCCAGAUGUGAAAUCCCCGGGCUUAACCUGGGAACUGCAUUUGGGACUGUAAGGCUAGAGUGUGUCAGAGGGAGGUGGAAUUCCACGUGUAGCAGUGAAAUGCGUAGAUAUGUGGAGGAACAUCGAUGGCGAAGGCAGCCUCCUGGGAUAACACUGACGCUCAUGCACGAAA
rnacentral:rRNA from 1 species